AGCACGCAGGUCACUUCCCCGUACUCAAGUUCUCUCUUCCCUCUUCUGAGUUUUCUUGCUUAAUGAAGCUCUUAGGAGUUAAUUAAGUUAAGAAACUCAAGUGCUAAGCCCCACAAGAAUAGUAGUGCUGAGAUUAGCUCAGUACUAAUCCAAUAAAAUUAGUAGUAACCCUCUCCUAAAAAUGAAAACCACAAAAAUAUAUCUCCAGUAGAAUAAUCAAGCUCUGAGCGAAGAAACUUUGUGGUGGACUGAUCCCCACAAGAACGACUAACCACUGACCCCUCCAAUUAUUUUUUCCUGCAUAUUCUCUGUACUAAUCUUUUGCAGGAGUUAUGUCGCUGUGGGGGAGCAUCAAAGGCAAGGUGAAGAAGCUAGGCUCGUCAUCUCGAUCCCGUAGUUCGCGAGCAUCAUCAGGCUCCCAGGAUGACAUGUCGGUGGACUCUAUCCGCCGACCAUCACGAUCCCUGGAAGAAGAGGAGGAAGCCCCUGCCUCUCCAGCAGUCCUGAGGCCCCGUCUCAAAAUUAGAGUUCUGACGUCGGUCGAUCAGAUUGUCGUCCGGACUGAUUAUGAGCGGGAUGCCCUCGAGCUGUUGAAGAAGCAGUCGUACGGCCACGCCAAGCGGUUCGAUACAAAGUUCCUCAUGAUGACGGGACUCCGCCAGGACAUGAACUGCGCGUUCACAACUGUGGGAUGGUCACGCUUCGCCGUCGUCACCGAACCAGAAAGGUCCCUAGAGGUUUUCAAAUCCUUGCAAAUAAGCCCUUGGCCGGAAAUAGGAACAGAGGAGGGGCGGCGGCCCGAUUUCCGGCGAAGUGGCUCACCGGCGGCAAGGGCCCCGUGGUGGAGGAGCUGAAGAAGGUCCGUGCGCACCUGUUGGUGGUCUUGGGGCGCAGGGAGGUGCUCGGAGGCGGCGGCUCGACGGAGCAGGGCGGCCGACGGCAAUGGCCGCUCGGCGCGGCGACGCUCCGGCGAGAGGGGGCGGUGAUGGCUAGGCUCAAAAGCUUCUCGAGGACGAGGAGGUUCUGUUCUCGGGGUUAAUUAGAGCCGGGGAAGGACGGAACGAUGAGCUCGACGGCAAGCUAUCCGCGGCGGUGACCAUGGCAACGGCGGGAGGUGCUCAGACGGUGAGGGCGAGCGAGAAUGGGCCGAGGAGCUGCAGGACGCCGAGAGGAUACUCGCUAGGGGUUUUGUUGGGGGUGAGGAAGAGCGAAGGAGCGGCUCCGUGUGCGGCCGGCGAGCAGCGGCGCUAAUGGAGAGGGCGGCGGUGGUUGGAUAGAAAAGGGAUGGCCGGGGCUAUUUAUAGCCUGAAGAGAAGGGAUAAGCGAGAGAGAGGGGGUUCGGGGAUGAGCUCAUCAGAGUUGUGGGCUGGAGACAACGGUGGCGCUUUUUUCGUGGGCGGCCGGUGGCGUGGCACGAGCGGCGACAUGGCGCGGGGAGAGAGAGAGAGAGCCAGCGGAGGAGGGAAGUCGGACCAGAGGGAACGAAGAUGGGUCGGGUGGCAGGCUGCUAGAGGCAGUGAAUGGCUGAACCACGGCGGGCAAGGCCGACGGUGGCGGCCAAAACACCGGCGAGGGGCGGCGCCCCUAUUUCUGGGCAGAAGAACUGUGGGUGGACCUAGAUGCAAAAAGGAAAGAAGCUAGGGGGUUUUCUGUAAACAUAAAAUUUCCCACUGUUUUAGGGCUCAAAUGAAAAGGUGUUCAAUAUGAAAGUUGUGUAGUUUUUCAAGACCUACAACUUUUAUGUUGGGCGAAAAUUCAUUAGGUCAAAGGAUUUUUGAAAUAUUCUCAAAUCCGUCAAAUCUUUUAAAAUGCAAAUAAACAUAACUUAAGUUUUAACAUUGCAAGGGCAGCCCUAGACAUAAAAUUGUCUUUUCAUGAGGGUAAAAGUGAAAAACAAGAUAUGCAAUUUUAACCCCUCACAAAAUUUGAAAUUUUGCCUUAUGCAAAAACUAUUUUGCAAAAGAACUUUAUACUUUUCCAAAAUUACAAAAAUACCCUUGCUAUAGAAAUCAUGGUUUAAUUUUUUUAAAUAACACAAAAGCUAUAUCUUUAACUGGGUGGUUUUAGCCCAUAAAACCUAGGUUGUCACAUUUUUGACCUUGGUGAGGAUCAUACACCUUGAGCGAUUGAGAGUACCUUCAGGGAACCAUAUUCAUAUGCAUACUUGAGAAAUAUUCCGAGAAUAUUCUGGUGAAGGUUGUUCAGUCCUCCAACCGCUCAAGACAAGGGAUGAAAUGUGAAAUAAGCCCCAUCAUCUAGAACAUAUAGGUAUGAGCCAACUUACUCGAAGUACAUACGGAUAGAGUAAUAUGCUGUGCAUAGGGUACUUGUAGAGGGCAAACAUCGACGCAACUCCUGAUCCACCGAGUCUCAGUAUUAAGCUUUGCUCGAGGAUGAGCAAAAGUUUAAGCUUGGGGGGGGGGUGUUGACGGCCAUUAUCUCACAUCUUGACCGUCAACUUCUCGGGAAUAAAUUGAGUUUUGCACCAUGUUCCUGCAUAUUUUAUUUGAUUCUAAUAAAGUUCCACAAGUUUUGGAUGAGUGUGCUUGCAGGAAUCCACUGUCCAAAGAUGGUCGAAAUCAGAGAAAAUCCCGGCCUCCCGGUAUUCCGUGCCGACAGCCUGAGACCUCCACAUACAAGGGUCCAAUAUUUUUACUGGAGCAUCGUGACAUGUUCAUGAGGUUCCAGAACAAGGCGCACAUUUCAUAUCCUGUCGGUGGACCCGGAAGGCACAAGGUUCAACUCAAAAGCCCACAUACCAGUCCCAAGAUCCUUAAAUGGGGAAACCACCCAUUCCAGGAGCAAAGUGGAGUGAUGUUUUGCAACGUCGGCGAAGCGGAGGGCCGAGGGGCUUCGGAGGCAGGCCGCCUGGCCAACCUUAGGCCGCCCGGCCCAAGAUGAAGGCAUCCGACGAAACCACCCAGAGAACCGACGUUUUGGAGAGAUCAGGAGCCGUCCACGGGAGGUCGGUGACCAGAUGGCACACCCCUAGGCCGGCCGGCCUAGGGAGGGCUGCCUGGCCCCACCUUGCAGAGACACGGCUCCCGGCUUCGCGUGGAAGUUAAGCACCACCUCUACAGUUGCGUGCACCUAGCGGUAACAGAAUUACCGGCCUUCUACCGACCUUCGAAGCCUAUAAAUAGCACUCUCCCCCUCACUUGUAAACACAUAGUCAAAGGAGCAAUUCUCUCUUCUCAAGUCUAGAGUAGGUUAGUAGUUGGGAGUUAGAGUCGAGUCGAGCUUGUCUCGGGGAUCCGGAGUCGUCAUCGGAGCUCGGUAAAUCUCUUGUAUCUUUUCCUUUGACUAUUUUCAAUAUAAGUUAUCUUCUGUAUUUACUUGAGUCAGCUUUACUUUCCGCAAGUAUUUAUCUUCCCAAGUACUUGUACUUGUCUGCGGGAGUAAGUUUUACCUCUAGUUCAGUUUAAGUCCUCUUUCUUGCUUAUCGGAGUUAGUUUUACGGGUUUUCUCGCCCGUACUAGUGUAACUCAAGUUAGUUCACUAGGUUGAGGAGGAUUUCUCUUGAAGGCCUCAAGAGAAAUCCUAGUACCGAGAGCAGACGUGGUGUCUGACUCAGUGCUAGCUAGAAAGUGUGUUCCACCCCACGGUACCGCAGUGGUAGGCGGCAAGUGGUGACACCUUGUCCGUCCUUCAUAAUCUACCAGGUUCGGGUGUUUUCAUAGCAAUAGGAUUGCCAAAAAUAUGUUGGGCCCCCUCUCACCCCUAUCUACGCCCUUCGAUUAGGCCGCCGAAGUAAGCUCCUGGUUUCGACUUCAAGUUAGAAGCUUAGAUUAGUUUUAGAGAGGCUAGCUCAUGUUGGCGGUCGAUAACGAUGGUUUCCGCCGCCAACGCUCCGCCUGAUUUCAUGAAAUGUAGGCCAUAAUCAUGCCAUAACCAUUAUUACUAAUGAGUUCCAUAUGUUUUGGUGUUUAUUUGACCUCAGGGACAACAUAUCCAAAUUUGACCCAAAACGGACGUUGUUUGGACCGGAAGGCCCGAAUCCAGCCGAUCGGCAUACUUUCGGUGGAAUCUUAGCAUGAGACUUUACCAAAGACACAUAGAGGGAGAAUCCAAGUCAUUCCAAUGGGCUAAAUCAAGAAAUGCACAACUUGGACCCGAAAGGCCUGGACCCAUAUCCAAAAGAGAAGCCAACUUUGGCCAUGGUCAAGUAUUCAGCAAACACCCUAUGCAGAAGUGACCCAUGGCCAGAGAGGAGCGUGUCGGUGCAACAGAGUACCGAGGGGCCGCCAAGGCAGGCCGCCCAGCCCCAAGGAGGCCGCCCGGCCCAAAAGAACGUCGGUUGAGCAAACUGCCAGAAGUAUCGACCUCCUGAUGAGAUCAGGACCGUCCCACAGAAAGACGGUGCCACGUGGUGGCAGGGCCAGGCCGGCCGGCCUAGGCCAGGGCACCCGGCCCCACUCUGCAGCCUCUGGUGUCCAGCCUUCGCGUGAAGAUCAAGCACCACCUCCUAUGCUGCGUACAACUGGCGCUACCUGAAAUAACCGUCAAGAACCGACCUUGGCACACUAUAAAUAGGACCCCCUCACCUAACUUGUAACACACACCUUGGGAGCUUGAGUGCCUCACAAUUUCAGUUCAUCCUUAGUAGAAUUGGGUGAGUGUGAGGUGAGAGCUUUGGCGGAAGCCGGGCUAAAGGGGCGGAGUCGAGUUCUCUCGACCUUACCCCAUCUUGUACUCACCUCGGGGGAAUCUUAUAGUCAAGUAAGUUUUCCUCGCUUA